GGCGGCCGCAGCGAGAGCGUCCCGCGCCCACCCCGAAGCUCACCACGCCCACCACUGUGUGCUCGCAGGUGGCGUCCCCCACCGCCACCCGGUCCAUCAGGGGCCCGCCGCUGUCACCCUAGAGAGUAGAGAGAGACUAAUCAACUUCAUGACUCACUUAAUCACUUACGAGUGGACGAAGACGCAGUGGGCAGCGGUGAGCACGUGGUAGGGGGAGAUGAGGGAGCCGCCGCAUUCGUACCUGAUUCCCUCAUUCUUGUACUUCGAGCCAAUCAGCACCUGCACUCAAGGGGCGGAGGGAAGGAAGUGACGUCAGGAGCAUACCGCGUUAGGGAACUCUCCAAUAUUCGCCUCCUGGCCUCCGACGAUCAGGGGAGUCUCAGUGGCGCAGUUGCCGUUCUCGUCCCGCCAGUACCCCGCCCAGGCCUCGCACACUGCAGUAGACAUGAGACAGAUGC